rnacentral:rRNA from 1 species
AGCGAACGCUGGCGGCAGGCCUAACACAUGCAAGUCGAACGAACUCUUCGGAGUUAGUGGCGGACGGGUGAGUAACACGUGGGAACGUGCCCUUUGGUUCGGAAUAACUCAGGGAAACUUGUGCUAAUACCGAAUGUGCCCUUCGGGGGAAAGAUUUAUCGCCAUUAGAGCGGCCCGCGUCUGAUUAGCUAGUUGGUGAGGUAACGGCUCACCAAGGCGACGAUCAGUAGCUGGUCUGAGAGGAUGACCAGCCACACUGGGACUGAGACACGGCCCAGACUCCUACGGGAGGCAGCAGUGGGGAAUCUUGCGCAAUGGGCGAAAGCCUGACGCAGCCAUGCCGCGUGAAUGAUGAAGGUCUUAGGAUUGUAAAAUUCUUUCACCGGGGACGAUAAUGACGGUACCCGGGGAAGAAGCCCCGGCUAACUUCGUG